rnacentral:lncRNA from 1 species
CAUGUCUGAUUCCCCCUUCAGGAGGUAAAUGAAAAACCUAAGAAGAAAAAGCUAAAACCCCAGGAAACCCUACAGGAAAAUGGAAUGGAAGACCCACCUGUCUCUUUGCCUAAAACCAAGAAAAAGAAAGCUUUUCCCAAGGAGGAGUUGGCCAGUGAUCUUGAAGAGAUGGCUACUAGCAGCAUAAGUGUUCCUAAGAAAAAGAAGUCCUUACCUAAAGAGGAAGUGGCCAGUGAACCCGAAGAGGCAGCGAGCCCCAUCACCCCUAAGAAGAAAAGGAAAUUUUCUGAGGAGCCUGAGGCUGCUGCAAGCUGCACAAAGAGCAGCACAAAGAAAAAGAAAAAGUCGCAGAAGGCCCGGGAGGAGGAUUAGAAUGGACCUGCUUGGUGGGAGGGGCAUACUUUAUGGUGGCAGUUCCUCCUGCCCAUGAUAAACCCCAAUAAAAACGCAAAACCAGAUA